rnacentral:rRNA from 1 species
CAAUAGCGUAUAUUAAAGUUGUUGCAGUUAAAAAGCUCGUAGCUGGAUUUCGGGGUGGCCUGGCUGGUCCACCGCAAGGUGAGUACUGGUCAGCCGCCCUUCCUCUCGAAAGCCCCGACUGCUCUUUACUGCAGUGGUCGGGUAGUUCGGGACGUUUACUUUGAAAAAAUUAGAGUGUUCAAGGCAGGCUAUCGCCUGAAUACAUUAGCAUGGAAUAAUGGAAGAGGACCUCGGUCCUAUUUUGUUGGUUUCUAGGGCCGAAGUAAUGAUUAAGAGGGACAGUUGGGGGCAUUCGUAUUUAAUUGUCAGAGGUGAAAUUCUUGGAUUUAUGAAAGACGAACUAGUGCGAAAGCAUUUGCCAAGGAUGUUUUCAUUAA